rnacentral:rRNA from 1 species
AGAUACACAUACCAUUUGUCCGUCGCCAGUGACCACAAAAAUCAUCACCAAAGCCAAGAGAGAGAUACACAGUACACGACGCACUCCGGCCGUUCCAUUUCGCUCCGCCCUCCCGCCUUGUCCCGUUGCUCAGCUCCCGCCGGCUCGCCCCGAGCAGUUCGCCGCCGUUGAAGCACACUCCCCGGUCGCUCGCCGCCAUGAAGAAGGUUGUGCUGAAGCUGGACGUGCACGACGACAGGCACAAGGCCAAGGCGCUCAAGGCCGUCUCCGGCCUCCACGGCAUCGACCAGCUGGGCGUGGACAUGAAGGAGCAGAAGAUGACCGUCGUGGGCACCGUCGACCCCGUCGCCGUCGUCGCCAAGCUGCGCAAGCUCUUCCCCGGCGCGCAGAUCGUCUCCGUCGGCCCAGCCAAGGAGGAGAAGAAGGACGACAAGAAAGACGACAAGAAGGACGGCGGCGGGGACAAGAAGGCCGGUGGAGACAAGAAAGAGGCCGACAAGAAGGACGGCGGCGACAAGAAAGACGGAGACAAGAAGGACGGCGGCGACAAGAAGCCGGCCGUGCCGGUGUGCCCGCCCUACUGGUACCCGAUGCCGCCGCAGCCGCGCUACAUCGUCCACAGCGCCGAGGAGGACCCCAACUCGUGCGUCAUCUGCUGAUCGACGCCCACGCGCCGCCGCCGCCGCCCAUCUUCCCCUGUACAUUUCGUCGCUGUCCUGCCUGUCUUCCUCUGCCGCCGCCGCCGCCGCCGCUGCCGGUGGUUGGUGGUUGCUGUACUCAUCAGCCCACCAGACGCAGCGAUCGACGGUGUGCGUUGCACUUACGUAUACCACCGCGUAAUUACCAGUUGCAUUGCAUCGAUAGGUGCUGUUUGGCUUAUUUCUGGGAAGAUGUCGACCGCCGGGAUGCUAGUGGCAGUACUACACCUGCAUGCGUCUGCUGAUCAGUUUGUAGAGUGAGAAGAGCUAUAUAUAAAGAGAAAGAACUUUUGAUGGUAUCUGAAUUUCAGAAAAUGCUGCCCAAAUGGUUUGUUCUCCUGAUGGAAAAAAAGAGAGUGUAAAUCAGCACUAAAACCAUC